UUUAAAUGCAACCAUAAAUUUACGUGCUUAACUUUAAUCGUCCAUCUAAUUUAAUUUUUUUUAUAAUUAGUAUUUUUGUUAUUAUGAGAUGAUAAAACAUGAAUAAUACUUUGAUUGUGACUUACUCCCUCCGUUUCACAUCUAUAUGAAUGUGGGCAAUGCUAGAAAGUCUUAUAAUGUGAAACAGAGGAAGUAUGUUUUUAUUUUUUUCAAAUAAGAUAAAUAAUCAAAAUUAGGCGCGGAAAACUAUGGUUGCACUUAUA
rfam:Oryza nivara chromosome 1, whole genome shotgun sequence.